CUAACCCCAGCUUCUCGUCUCCUCCUUAAGGAUAACCCUUUCACUUACAAGCACUUCAUUGAUCUGGUGCUUGGUCCAUAUCUGACAAAACCAUAUGACAGCAUGAGCACUUGGUUCCAAAAUGAUGAUUCUUCACCAUUUUUAACUGAAUUUGGAGAGACACUUUGGGAUAAGGCAGGCCAUGAAUCUGAGCUUAAUCGGAUGAUUAAUGCAUCCAUGGGUGGUGAUAGCUCUCUGAUUGGCAAAGCGGUGAUCGUCAAAUGUAAGGAGGUGUUCGAGGGGCUUACUUCGUUGGUUGAUGUUGCGGGUGGCACUGGAAAUAUGGCUAAGGCCAUUGCUGAUGCUUUCCCUCACUUGAACUGCACUGUGUUUGAUCAACCACGAGUCGUUGGUGAUUUGCAAGGCAGCAAGAACUUGAAUUUUGUUGGUGGAGAUAUGUUUAAGGCUGUUCCACCUGCAGAUGCUGUUUUACUAAAGGUUGUGAAUACUUUAAAUUUUUUUGCAAUAAUUAAAUUUUUUAUUCCAAAACUUGGAAUGUUAAACUAGUUUUGGUAUUUACAAACAGUGGACAUUGCAUGAUUGGAGAGAUGAAGACUGUGUGAAGAUACUAAAGAAUUGCAAAGAAGCAAUUACUAUCAGAAAUGAGAAACAAGGAGGGAAGGUCAUGAUCAUUGACAUGGUGGUGGGAGACCAGACCUCUGAUGCUGAUGAUAAGAUCACUGAAUCAAAGCUGUUAUUCGACAUAACAGCCAUGUCAUGUCUUACCGGUAAGCAGAGAAAUGAAAAGGAAUGGGCAAAUCUCUUCUUCAGUGCUG
rnacentral:lncRNA from 1 species